UACGGAGGGUGCGAGCGUUGUCCGGAUUUAUUGGGUUUAAAGGGUGCGCAGGUGGCCCGGUCAGUCAGUGGUGAAAUGCGGCCGCUCAACGGUCGAACUGCCAUUGAUACUGCCUGGCUUGAGAGGAGUGGAGGCCGCCGGAACGGACGGUGUAGCGUUGAAAUGCGUAGAGAUCAGGAAGAACAUCGGUGGCGAAGGCGCUCUGCUGGACCAUAACUGACACUCAGGGACGAAAGCUAGGGGAGCGAAUGGG
rnacentral:rRNA from 1 species